rnacentral:lncRNA from 1 species
CCCAAAAUGAUAAUUUAAUUAAUUCAUCAUGAAGGUUAAGACAAUAUUUCAAUAUUAAAUAAUCUUUAUAUCAAAAUAUGACUUAGAAGAUUGGUUACUAAUAUGUUCUAGUCUAUUUCAUCUACUUAUAAUUCUUCCUUUUCUUGUUUCUCUUGUAUAAUUCUCUAAUACAUUUCCUCGUAAACUCUUUUUAGACGAACUCCUGUCACUACAAAAAAACUGUGAAAUUGCGACCAAAAUUAGCGAUCAAAUUUUUUGGUCGCUAUAUAGCUACCAAUCAG